rnacentral:misc_RNA from 1 species
UCUACUUAGCCCGAGAGAAGAGGGUUAGUUUUCAUGGAUCAAUUAGCAUUUCGUAGUUAUGAUUAUUGUUUUUAGUGUUAAGGGUUGUGGAUGCAGUUGAAUAUUUAUUUAUUUUGUUGAAUGUUUGCUUCUUGAUUGCAAUUGACUCUCUACUGUCAAAUGAUUAGUUUUGUCGUAAUUAAAGGCUUUAGUUUUGGGUUGCUUUUACCUUCUCUCUAAGCUGCUUUU